rnacentral:piRNA from 1 species
UGAUCUGUUCUUUUCAUUUCA